GCUGGGCAUGGUGGCGCGUGCCUGUAAUCCCAGCUACUCGGAGGCUGAGGCAGGAGAAUUGCUUGAACCCAGGAGGCGGAUGUUGCGGCGAGCCGAGAUCGCACCAUUGCACUCCAACCUGGGUAACAAGAGCGAAACUCUGUCUCAA
rnacentral:sRNA from 13 species